GAUUAGAUACCCCGGUAGUCCUGGCCGUUAACGAUGGGUACUAGGUGUAGGAGGUAUCGACCCCUUCUGUGCCGGAGUUAACGCAAUAAGUACCCCGCCUGGGGAGUACGACCGCAAGGUUGAAACUCAAAGGAAUUGACGGGGGCCCGCACAAGCGGUGGAGUAUGUGGUUUAAUUCGACGCAACGCGAAGAACCUUACCAGGUCUUGACAUUGAUGGACAGAACCAGAGAUGGUUCCUCUUCUUCGGAAGCCAGAAAACAGGUGGUGCACGGUUGUCGUCAGCUCGUGUCGUGAGAUGUUGGGUUAAGUCCCGCAACGAGCGCAACCCCUAUCUUAUGUUGCCAGCACUUUGGGUGGGGACUCAUGAGAGACUGCCGCAGACAAUGCGGAGGAAGGCGGGGAUGACGUCAAAUCAUCAUGCCCCUUAUGACCUGGGCUACACACGUACUACAAUGGGAGUUAAUAGACGGAAGCGAGAUCGCGAGAUGGAGCAAACCCGAGAAACACUCUCUCAGUUCGGAUCGUAGGCUGCAACUCGCCUACGUGAAGUCGGAAUCGCUAGUAAUCGCAGGUCAGCAUACUGCGGUGAAUACGUUCCCGGGCCUUGUACACACCGCCCGUCACACCACGAAAGUCGGAAGUGCCCAAAGCCGGUGGG
rnacentral:rRNA from 1 species